rnacentral:rRNA from 1 species
CCUACGGGAGGCAGCAGUGGGGAAUAUUGGACAAUGGGGGCAACCCUGAUCCAGCCAUGCCGCGUGUGUGAAGAAGGCCCUCGGGUUGUAAAGCACUUUCAGUGAGGAAGAACGCCUGGUGGUUAAUACCCAUCAGGAAAGACAUCACUCACAGAAGAAGCACCGGCUAACUCCGUGUCAGCAGCCGCGGUAAUACGGAGGGUGCGAGCGUUAAUCGGAAUUACUGGGCGUAAAGCGCGCGUAGGUGGCUUGAUAAGCCGGUUGUGAAAGCCCCGGGCUCAACCUGGGAACGGCAUCCGGAACUGUCAAGCUAGAGUGCAGGAGAGGAAGGUAGAAUUCCCGGUGUAGCGGUGAAAUGCGUAGAGAUCGGGAGGAAUACCAGUGGCGAAGGCGGCCUUCUGGACUGACACUGACACUGAGGUGCGAAAGCGUGGGUAGCAAACAGGAUUAGAUACCCCGGUAGUC